rnacentral:misc_RNA from 1 species
AAAGUCGUAACAAGGUCUCCGUAGGUGAACCUGCGGAGGGAUCAUUAUCACGUUAUCCACGUUAUCAACCAUCGUGAACUGUCUUGCCUCUGGUGAAUGUAGAGAGUUUUUUAGAGUGCCUUGGAAAGUUUAGACAAUUUCAAAGGGCUUUUUACCUUGUGCAUGUUUUGAAGCCUGGUCUAUUCUCUUUUUCCUUUGCAUCUCCUCGAGUCAUGUCGUGCUACAUUCUCCAGAGCGUAUUUUUCAAAACCCUUGCACUAUUAAUUACCAAUCGAACAACAACUCUGAUCAUCGAACUGACUUGAUUUCUUACUCUCUUCACUGGGAGAAGAAAUAAAAUUACGAAACAAAGAACAACUCUUAGCAACGGAUAUCUUGGUUCUC